rnacentral:rRNA from 1 species
GUCUACGGUCAUGCUACCCUGAACAAGCCCAAUCCCGUCUGAUCUCAGAAGCUAAGCAGGGUUGGGCCUGGGAGUACUUGGACCACCUAGGAAUACCAGGUGCUGUAAGUG